AUUGAACGCUGGCGGCAGGCUUAACACAUGCAAGUCGAGCGGGGUGAUGGUGCUUGCACUAUCACUUAGCGGCGGACGGGUGAGUAAUGCUUAGGAAUCUGCCUAUUAGUGGGGGACAACAUCUCGAAAGGGAUGCUAAUACCGCAUACGUCCUACGGGGGAAAGCAGGGGAUCACUCGUGACCUUGCGCUAAUAGAUGAGCCUAAGUCGGAUUAGCUAGUUGGUGGGGUAAAGGCCUACCAAGGCGACGAUCUGUAGCGGGUCUGAGAGGAUGAUCCGCCACACUGGGACUGAGACACGGCCCAGACUCCUACGGGAGGCAGCAGUGGGGAAUAUUGGACAAUGGGGGGAACCCUGAUCCAGCCGUGCCGCGUGUGUGAAGAAGGCCUUAUGGUUGUAAAGCACUUUAAGCGAGGAGGAGGCUCUUUUGGUUAAUACCCAGAAUGAGUGGACGUUACUCGCAGAAUAAGCACCGGCUAACUCUGUGCCAGCAGCCGCGGUAA
rnacentral:rRNA from 1 species